UUUUAUUAUUUUAUGCGCACUAAACUUUGGCGCUCUGUUGUUUACGACAGGAAUAAGUUUUGUCGCACAACCUCUAUUGUGAAUAAGUAGAAGAAAAAAAAACAUAACUGCAUGCUCUCAUCUCUUUCUCGCUCUCCGCCUCCCUCGUUCUCCGCCUAUCUCCCUCUCUUCAAAGCAUAGAUCCUUCUUUGCCACUCUUGUCACAACCUGUCAACCACUGAUGCUGAGACAGAAUUGAACUAGGUAAGGAGUUAUGUUUCUUGUUGCUCUCUCAAAUCUCCCCUUCCCUAACCCUAAUAGUUUUUGUCAUAUCUUAGUUUUUUCUUUUUGCUGCUAGAAAUUCGAAUUCAACCUCAUCCCUUCUCAUUCGAUAAGAUUAUUUGAGGAAUUAUCUUCUAAUUUGUUUUUUCUUGGUGUUGUUUCAUCAUUUUUCCGCAAAUUCCAAUCUUAUCUAUUCUCCAUUAGUUCUCCUAGUGUUUAGGGGGUUUUUUUUUUUUUUUUUUGCCUUUUCUAUGUUCAAUUUCAUCAUUAAUUGCUAAUAUUGUUGGAGGAUUUUUUGUAAUUCAAGCUAGUCAAAGAAGUAUGCUAGCUUGGUUUUGUUUAUUUAUUCUUUAUUGGCACUAGUGACUCAAUUAGCAAGAGAAGCAAAAAUUUGGGGGUGGAUUAAUUGGAGAAGGAUGAGGAAUAAAGCAUUGUUGAAUGCAGAGACAAUGGCAGUGCUUUUGUGAAGAAGCACAGAGUGGUCAGAAAAAAGUGAGAUUUGUAUAGGAAAAGGGAAGAACUCUUUGGAAAGGAAUGGUGAAUGAUGAGUAGAAAUGAGAGCAAGACGGAGGAGAAAAUGGAAAGUGGGCCUCUAAGAAAAGUGAGAAUAGGGUGUAGUUUGAAGGUAGAAGGUGAAGUGGGGCAUUCUGAUGACAUCAAUAUAGGGAAAGGUUUGCGAAGAAGCAAGAGAGUAGGUUAUUUUCUUGGGGCCAUAAAGGAUCAUACGAAGCAGGAAGAAAGAAAAGUAAAUAAGCAUUCCAAGAAAGUGCUAUUUUUUCAUGAACCUAUUCUACGUAAAAACAUCCCUAGAAUAGUUCCUGUUAAUGGCUUGAAGUCAUUUCUAAUCUUGAAUGUAAGUAAAAUGAUGUGGGAAGUGCUCAAUAUGUGUCCAAUUUAUAGGUUGGAAGAAAGCCAUGUGUAUUCGUAGGCAUGCCUUUGGCGAUCAGUAUUGAGCUUGAUACAGUUGUCAAAAGGCCAUGAAAACUUGAAAUGGUUUUUGUGUAUUCAAGCAUUUGCCAACUUGUAGAUGUCGUUGGCUCAUUCCAAGAAGUGACCACUAUACUUAAGAACCAAAAGCACUAUUAUGAAGAAAUAGUGAAGUACGAUGGUUUAAGGACAUAUUUGAGGAGGUUUAUGACAAGAAGUGGAAGCAGAAGUUUGAAGACAAUUCUACAUGGUUUGUACUAGCAUGAGAACUUUGACAUAGGAAUAUAGAACCUAUAAACGUUUUGAUCAGCAUAUAUGUUUCAUUAAUGUAAGUGAAAUACAUUCUUUGAUAUAUGAGUGUUUCUCAUUUUGUGAAUUAUGAAUUGUAUUGGUAUUGGAUUUUAUUUUAGUUCGAAAUAUGUAGUAAUAUUUCACACAAAACAAUUAUGGUGAAACUAUUAAGAAUAAUGUAAUUGUGGCGUCCCAUUUGACGCCCAAUAUUUUUUUUA